rnacentral:lncRNA from 1 species
AGUCGUCGGUAACGUGGCCGCAGCCCGAGAGCGUGACGGACGCCAGGGAAAAAACAAAGAGCGGACUGUCCCCCUGCCCAGCCAUCCUCAGCCAUUCCUCCCGACCUGAGCUGAGUGCCAGAAGAACCAGAUUCAGUAGACGUUCAUCAGUACCUACUAUGUGCCAGGUGCCACUGUGUCAUUUAAUCCUCUUACCCUGUUGGAUAAGAAAAAUUUAGCACAUUUUAUAGAAGAAGAAAUGAGGUUGCAAGAGUUUGAAGUAUUUGAGCUGGGGUCACAUGGUUGGACGAGCUGAGCGGCUCAGCAGAGUGCUGACAGCAAAGCCC